rnacentral:tRNA from 1 species
GCCGCGGUGGUGGAAUUGGUAGACACGUUAGACUCAAAAUCUGAUGUCCUCCGGGACGUGCCGGUUCAAGUCCGGCCCGCGGUACCA